rnacentral:rRNA from 1 species
AAACUCUAUGUUGCUCUGAACAUAAUUGGUCUUCUCAAAUACUGAAAGCUAAGCAGGGUCAAGCCUGGUUACAACUUGGGAUGGGAGACCACCACGGAAUACCAGAGAUUUC